rnacentral:rRNA from 1 species
UACGAAGGGGGCUAGCGUUGUUCGGAAUUACUGGGCGUAAAGCGCACGUAGGCGGAAUGUUAAGUCAGGGGUGAAAUCCCGGGGCUCAACCCCGGAACUGCCUUUGAUACUGGCAUUCUCGAGUCCGGAAGAGGUGAGUGGAAUUCCGAGUGUAGAGGUGAAAUUCGUAGAUAUUCGGAGGAACACCAGUGGCGAAGGCGGCUCACUGGUCCGGUACUGACGCUGAGGUGCGAAAGCGUGGGGAGCAAACAGGG